GGACCUAUGGUUCAAAAGUUAGAGGGGGGGGGACACAUUUUUUUUUCUUUCGGAGCGAUUAUCUCCGAAUAUAUUCACUUUAUCAAAAAAUGUUUCUUGAAAACCCCUAUUAGUUUUGAAAGACCUUUCCAACGAUACCCCACACUUUAGGGUUGAAGCGAAAAAAAAAAUUCACCCCCACUUUACGUGUAGGGGAGGUACCCUAAAAAAAAUUAAAAUUUUAGAUUUUAUUGUACGACUUUGUCGGCUUUAUUGAUUUAUAUAUCCAUGCCAAAUUUCAGCUUUCUAACACUAACGACCACGGAGCAAAGCCUCGGACAGACAGACAGACAGACAGACAGACAGACAGACAGACAGACAGACAGACAGACGGACAUGGCGAAACUAUAAGGGUUCCGUUUUAUGCCAUUUGGCUACGGAACCCUAAAAAGGCAUAAGCAAGGGGGAAGUUUCGUUAGUUGUUCAGAUGAUUAAGUAUUAUGUAACCAAAAAAUAAUAAUUUCAGGUGACUCGGGGUAUGCUCUUGAGCCAUGGCUCAUGACGCCAGUGCUGAAUCCUGCCCCGGGAAGCCCAGAAGCAAGGUAGGUACACGGUCUGGCACUGUCGCGUGCGCAACACGAUCAAGCGUACCAAUGGGUACCUCAAAAACGUAUUCCGGUGCCUGGGCCACGACCGCGUCUUACACUACAGCCCGACGAAGGCAUCGUCAAUAAUAAAUGCAUGUUGCGUAGUAUACAACAUAAUGCAACAUUAUAGAUAUGUUCCCGAGGAAAUCGUAGGAGAUAUUGAUGAACACGCUCCUCAAGCACUUCCUCAUCGUCAUGCGCAAAACGGACUACUAUUAAGAGUGGCGCAGGAAAAGCGUGCGCGUCUAAUAAAUACAUAUUUUGCUUA